CCCUUAGAUGUUCUGGGCUGCACGCGCGCUACACUGAUGCAUGCAACGAGUUUUCGACCUUGCCUGAAAAGGUUGGGUAAUCUGUUUAACAUGUGUCGUGAUGGGGAUAGACCAUUGCAAUUAUUGAUCUUCAACGAGGAAUUCCUAGUAAGCGCGAGUCAUCAGCUCGUGCUGAUUAUGUCCCUGCCCUUUGUACACACCGCCCGUCGCACCUACCGAUUGGAUGGUCCGGUGAAGCCUCGGGAUUGUGGUUCUUGCCGCUUUAUUGUGGCGUGACCGCGAGAACUUGUCUAAACCUUAUCAUCUAGAGGAAGGUGAAGUCGUAACA
rnacentral:rRNA from 1 species